UUCUCUUCUUGGCUCACUUUUUCUGGCUCAAUUUUCUCAACCUGAUAGUUACAUUUAUUUAGAUUUCUUCUAUAUUAAUUAUGUCCUGCAGGAAACUGUUUACUGUUGUGUUUAAGAGGCAAUGAAUCCAACUGACAAGUGUCCAAUAAGACACAGCUAUGAUUUUGCCCCUAAUCCCUUUCUCAGUGAGAGAAAAGAAUUGUCUUCAGAGGACACAAGUAGUAGCUCAUAGCAAGGGAGGGCAGAGUCCUGAAAGGCAGAAGGAGGAGGAGUCCAUUCCACCACUGCUGGGUUUCCCAGGCAGAAAUAAGCUGAGGGUGCACUGAGCGGGGACAAACCUUAAAUGGAGGAAGAGCCUGGAGUCACAUGAUUGCUCAAUUAGUCUUGAUCUUUCUCCAGUAAAGAGUGGCUAGAAGGCUAUUUACAUGCCUGAUUGUGACAGAAAAAUGUUGUGGCUUGUCAGAAAAUCCAUUCACAGGCAGAGAGAAGACUAUCAACAGAACAACUUUAAAGAGAACUGGGCCAAGAUGGAGUGUCCUAUCUAUACCACCCAUCACACAGAACAUUGAAAUGCAUCUAUAUUAGUGAUUGCUGAGGACAAGAAAACAAACUGAAGAAAAAGAACCUCCAGGGAGACAAGGAGGCAAGCAUUUGUGGGAGAAGAUACAGCUGAUGACAAGAAGUUUGCUAAAUUUCGAGUAAAUAAUUGAGGCCAAGGGUGGGCAAGUGUGAGAGUAUAGAAACCCUCAGCACCCUUUUCUCAUGGACCUCUUGAGAAAUAUGGGAACACAGCGAGACGCAGAAGCAAACUUCCUUUGUGGUGAAAGUGUAAGGGAGAGAACAGUGGUGCCCACAGGCAAAGCUUCACUAAAGUCCUUCACUCCUAUCGCUCCUAUGGUACAAAACAAAAAGCUGGUCCAGGAAGGCUUGCAAAGCUGUUCUUCCCAUGGAAAAUCUAUGGCAGUUGUGGUAAGGGAAGACUGAGGGAGGGAGUCAGAGAGAGGAAGAAAAUAAGGAAGAAGUCUACUUUUGGAGAAAGACAAGAAGCAUCCAGAUUGUUAGACAUUCUUCUGGCCAGACCUACUGAGAAAAGGGUACUGCACCUACUUAAGACUGUGGUGAACCAAACAUUUCUUGGAAGAAAACAGCUUUUUCCCAUCUCUAGUACUUUUCAUUUCAACAAGAAUUUCAUAGAAAAGCAUCCUUUUGAAAGUAUGUUCCUGGCGCAACUGGCAAUAUAUCAUCUCUAUAUUCAAUAUAUAAUUCAAGAUAAAAUCAAAUAUAGGUCAGGAUGAUUAUUUUUGAAAUGUAUACCAAUCAAUGUAUUGGAAUAAAGACAUAACUUCUACCUUUGAUAACCUGGAAAUAUUUUUUGAGACACAUAGUUUUGGAUGUCAAAGGAAGAGAAAAAAUGUUAGAGGCAGCUAUGAGGAUGCGACAAGGAAUCCAGGCCAAGUUUUCAGGCAGGAAUAUGAAAGGGGUGAUUAACGAAUCAUGAGCAGACCGACUUGACUAACCCAUAAAGGUGAUGGCUACUUAACAGGCCUGGAAGCAGAUGAGGUGUAGUCUCAAACCAGCUUAAGUAUUGGGGGGCGAUGGGGACAAUAUUGAGCACAUACUUAUUAAAUAAUAGGAAAGUGUCAGUUAUGCCUUUGGUGGCCAGGGCAAAAAGAGAUUGGCAACAGGGGGAUUUUCAUGAAGCUCUUCUACAAAUGCUAUCUGUGGGUUUGUUCAAAGCUUGAGCUCAAACAAGGUCAUAGAUGUAGAAAGGAGCGCACCUGUGUAAGGGGGAUCUACUGGAGCAUUCAUGCCCCAACCUAACAGUGUGCAAAACACAUUGUGCACUCUCCACAAGAACAGUGACAUGUUUGAAGAAUACUCAUUCAUUUUUUAAAUAUAUUGAUUAUCCUUCAGAGUCACAGUUAGGAAAAUGUAUGCAGUCUUAAUCUUGAGAUCUAAAGACCAGAAGAGUAAAUGCAAAUUUUACUAACGCAAUAUAUUUUGCCAUAAAAUUUACCAUAAAAUGAUCAUUCCACACUCUUCAUCUCAUGUGGAUCAUAUAAGCCAACAUGUUUUUAUCAAAACUCCCAUUAUUAUAUUAUUAUUGACAUUAUUAGCACAAAAAACAGGAUUUGAAAUGGAAAAUAAUAGCACCAAAUGUAUGUAUUCAAAUAAUAUCAUUUACACAGGUAUAGCCAACAGAGGAUGAGAUUAAAGAUCCAUGACAAAAUAAAGUGAAGAAAACAGAAUUAAGAAAUCCUGAUGUACAUAAAGUUAGUGUCUUCUCAAGUUUCUAAGAGAGUUCACUCUGAAAAGCCUGCAAAUGCAAAGGAGCAUUGUAAAGAUUGCAGUGAUGUGGGAUCUCUCAAAGAUACCCAGCUGUAUUAGGGUUCUCCUGCGAAAAUGGAAGAUGCAUACAUAUAAAAUGAGAUUUGGCUCACCUAAUUAUGGAGGCCCAGAAGUCCCACAGCCUGCUUUUUGCAAUCUUGGGAGAAGCAGCAAAACAGAAGGGUAAUUCAGUUUUAGUCUAAAGACCUGAGAAUGGGGGUAAGGUUUAUUUGUGUAAGUCAUAGAGUCCAAAAGCCAGAGAACAAGGAACAGCGAUAUCAGAGGGCAGGAGAAGAUGGAUGUCUCAGCUCAAAAAGAGAGCGCAAACUUGCCCCUCCUUUACAUGUUUGUUCUAUUCUGGCUCAUAAUAGAUUAGUUAAUGUUUGCCAUCAUUGGUGAAGGCAAUCUUCUUCACUCAGUCUUCAAAUACAAAUGCUAAUACCUCCCAGAAAUGCCCUCACAGAUACAUCCAGAGGUAAUAUUUUACCUGCUCUCUGGAUAUCCCUUAGCCCAGUCAAGUGGACACAUACAAUUAGCCAUCAAUGCCAUCUAUGGAACCAAAAUAGAAAUCAGUACGGAAAGAUCAGUGUGAGGCCAUCAGCUGCAAUAAGAAGGGGUAAAAGUCAUAUGCCAAAUGUCCCGGCCCCCAAACUAUGACCAAUGACGCCCUUCUCUCGAGUUGAUCAUCUACAAUAUUAGACAAUGUGGUCAUGAAUAAUAAUUUACUUGUAACAUUUUUAAAUGAAGCUAAUAUGAGAAAAUGGCCAUAAGGAUGUGAUGCACUGUUAACUCUGACAGAAUUAUAAGUUAUUUUACACCUCAAACUAGUAGCUUCUUUGUCUGUUAAUAACAUUUUACCUACUGGACACUGACAUCAUCCAGGAAUUCUUAAUUCACAUUCCAAAUCUUUUAGUAGUGACUUUCAAGUAGCAGGGUUUGUCAUGG
rnacentral:lncRNA from 1 species